rnacentral:lncRNA from 1 species
GAAUCCCGGCUGUCUUCCUGUUCAUGUAGAGGAGAUGGGAAUGGAGGAAGGGUGUCUCCUAGCAUGUGCCUUAAAAUCAGCCUAAAAUGAGACCCCUGCCUACCCGUUCUUUUUUGUUAUGAUAAACUUUUUAAAUUUUUAAUUAUUCAUGGAAUUGUAAUUUAACAGUAGGAAUGACCGCACAAAUAUAGGAUGUGUAUAUUGAUGAACAGGUCUGUGCCAAUUCAGUUUAAUUUUUCCAUUCUGUCUCAUUUCACAGCUCCUGUUUUGUAGCUUAGUUUUGCUCCAUCAGUGGUCAAUACCUGGGGAAUUAUAAAACCCUGCACCCAGUGAUGCUUCAACCUACAGUUUGUUCUUCAGCCCAAGAGUGAAGAAUAGCGUCUUCAGGUGAGGAGGUACAGACUCAGCACCUAGGUAUUUUCUCCAUAUCUGCCUGUGUCUAAUGGGUGAGCAACUAGCAGAGUGGAAGCCAGCAGAGGUUAGUGGAGCCCACUGAUGAAAGAUGCUGGGUCCCUGGUGUCUGUCGGGGGAUGCUGGAAGGGCAUUGGGCUGAAGACAGAAUGAUUCAAGCCAAGGGUGAUGACCAACUCUUUGACAGAGGCCAGGACAGCCAACUCCAGGGAGAAAGGAGGGAGUGAUAUAAGCCAUUGUGUUCUGCACACCAGGGCACUCUGGACUCCACACUGUCUGUCAGAAGAAUAGCUCCUCUAUACUUUCAUUGGGCCACAAAAGUCAUGCCAAAAAUCAUAGCCAAGUGUCUUUAGUGUCUACAGCAGCCAAGAAAGUGUGGACAUCUCCAGGCAACUCCAGAAGGUCAGAGAAAGCAAUGGCGACAGAGACCAACAUAGGUGUGCAGGAAUCAAUCAAGGAACAAGGAGCAUGGUGCUAUGCUGGGGUACCUUCCGGAAGCAGAGGGUCGUCAACCUGUGAGCAUCUCUACAACCAUCACACUCUCAUCUGAGAAAGUAGCUUCUUUUCCUAGGGAUACCGUGACAAAUAGCCACAAGCUCGGUACUUUACAAGAGAACGAAUCUCUUGCCAUUCUGAAGGGCGAUAGCCUAAGAUCAAGCCAUCUGCAGAGCAGUACCCCUUCAUCCGGGAACUGAGAUUCUACCCAGCCUCCUCCAGUGUCUGAUGACCAUGUCACCACAAUAUCUGCCUCCUUUAUUGUGUAGCUUUCUUCUCCUCCCGCUGCCUCCUCUCCUGUGUCUUAUACGGCACUGGAUGGGUGUCCACUUGAGUAGAAAGGAUGAUUGCACGCCAAUGCCCAGAAGUUAGCUAUAUCUGCCAAGACACCUGGAUAAUGCCACAUUCACAGAUUUCUGGGAAAGUUAAUCCUUCUAGAAGCCACCAUGUCAUGCUUCCCUGAUAGAAAGUGACAGAGAGGGGAUACUAAGGGAUGAGCACAGAAGUCACAUGUCCUUCCUGUCACAUCCAAAUGAGUGUUGUCUGUCUGUCUGUUUGUCUGUCUGUCUCUAUCUAUCUAUCUAUCUAUCUAUCUAUCUAUCUAUCUAUCUAUCUAUCUAUCUACCUACCUACCUACCUACCUACCUACCUACCUACCUACCUACAUUUUCAUAAAUAUACUGGAUCUCACUCUGCAGCCCAAGGUGGCUUGGGAUUUAUCAUGCAGGCCAGACCGGCCUCAAACUUCUGACAAUCUUCCUGCCUCUGCCCUCCCCGCUCUGGUAUUAUAUUUAUGAGCUGUUAUAACCCAGAUGUUAAUUUUGUUUUAAUUAAAUUCCCUUUAGCUGCACAAGUGACUGCUCAUUUCUAGGGAGAAGUCUGUGGCUGUCCCUUGGGCUAUCUGUCCUCUCACUGAGACUUUGAAACAGAGGAAUAAUCUAGAUCCAUCAGAUCCUGGCC